UAUAUUCUACCCGGAGAUGGUUUCUAUACGGAUAACUGUGCUAAUUGUAGAGCUAAUACGUGCAUAAAAGCGCAACUUCUCGGAAGCGCUGUACUUAUUAGAUACAGAACCAAUCCUGGCAACAGGACAUUGGAUGACCCAUAAUAAGCGAACGGAGCGUAUGACUUGUGUCGACGCUGUUCCGGUCGAGUUUCUGACCUAUCAGCUUUCGAUGGUGGGGUAUUGGCCCACCAUGGCUUUGACGGGUAACGGAGAAUUAGGGUUCGAUUCCGGAGAGGGAGCCCGAGAAACGGCUACCAUA
rnacentral:rRNA from 1 species